rnacentral:rRNA from 1 species
UUAAAACUCAAAGGAAUAGACGGGGACCCGCACAAGUGGUGGAGCAUGUGGUUUAAUUCGAAGAUACGCGAAGAACCUUACCUAGCCUUGACAUAUUUUAGAACACUUUAGAGAUAGCGUGGUGCGUUCGGAAGUACAUAUACAGGUGCUGCACGGCUGUGGUCAGCUCGUGUCGUGAGAUGUUGGGUUAAGUCCCGCAACGAGCGCAACCCUCGUCACUAGUUACUAACGGUUCGGCCGAGGACUCUAGUGAGACUGCCUUCGUAAGGAGGAGGAAGGUGAGGACGACGUCAAGUCAUCAUGGCCCUUACGGCUAGGGCAACACACGUGCUACAAUGGCCAGGACAAUGAGACGCGAUACCGCGAGGUGGAGCAAAUCUAUAAACCUGGUCUCAGUUCGGAUUGUAGUCUGCAACUCGACUACAUGAAGCUGGAAUCACUAGUAAUCGUAGAUCAGCUAUGCUACGGUGAAUACGUUCCCGGGUCUUGUACUCACCGCCCGUCACACCAUGGGAGUUGAUUUCACCCGAAGCGGGGAAGCUAAACUGGCUACCGUCCACGGUGGAAUCAGCGACUGGGGUGAAGUCGUAACAAGGUAACCGUA